AUGGAAUUGGAUGGAAUGCAUUUCAUCGAGUUCCGCUCCAUUCCAUCCUCUUUUUAUCAAUCUAAACAAUGGAAUAUAGCAUUAUUUCAUUUCAUUCCGCUCCAUUCCGUCACAUUCUAUCAAUCCAAAUAUAACCUUAAGUUCAAAGGUGAUGGGUUAGGCCUAAUGCAUGGUAUAGUUGACAGUGUUUCGGAAGCUGACAUGGCCUGGAGACUUAAAAGUUCUCUUGUACAGAAGCUAAUAUAG